CUUAAAAGACCGAAAGAAGAAUGUAAGGAAACGGCCUUCACAGGUGGAAAAUGUUUCUCCUCCAGUUCCAAGCACUGUCACAAGUCAGAAUAGAGCAUCAACACAUGAAACUAGAACCGUUAAAUUGGUUCUGGUGGACAGUCAAAACUUACAAAGGUUAGGAGCUGGGAAGGGAUCAUUAAAGCGAAAUGUUAAUAUAGGUGUUAUCCGCGGCAAUAGAGGAGACUCAACUGCAAUGAAACCUGCAAGGCAAAGACGGAAACAAGCUGCAUAUAAGAAAUGGGAAAAAGCUG
rnacentral:misc_RNA from 1 species